AGUCAUAUGCUUGUCUCAAAGACUAAGCCAUGCAUGUCUAAGUAUAAGUGUUAUACAGCGAAACUGCGAAUGGCUCAUUAAAACAGUUAUAGUUUAUUUGAUAAUCGAAUUUACAUGGAUAACCGUGGUAAUUCUAGAGCUAAUACAUGCUGGUAGGCCCGACUUUUGCGGAAGGGCGGUAUUUAUUAGAUAACAAGCCAAUAUUCCUCUGGUCUAUUGUGGUGACUCAUAAUAACUGAUCGAAUCGCAAGGCCUUUGGCCGCGAUAAGUCAUUCAAGUUUCUGCCCCAUCAGCUUUCGAUGGUAGUGUAUUGGACUACCAUGGCGUUUACGGGUAACGGAGGAUUAGGGUUCGAUUCCGGAGAGGGAGCCUGAGAAACGGCUACCACAUCUAAGGAAGGCAGCAGGCGCGUAAAUUACCCAAUCCUGACUCAGGGAGGUAGUGACAAGAAAUAACGGACCGAGGCCUUCGGGCUUCGGGAUUGGAAUGAGCCGAAUUUACACCCCUUAGCGAAGAUCGAU
rnacentral:rRNA from 1 species